AAAGGAGCAAAAAACCAUAACAAGCGCUCACAUGGUGUCAUCAUCUCAGCUAUCUUCCCACUGGAGAAAGAUGACAUACUCUACAUCCUAAUUGGUCACCAAGGAGAAGAUGCCUGUCCAGGAAGGAACCCCCUGACCCAUAAAAUCUGUCUUGGGGAGUCUUCUGUGAUAGAGGAUGGUUUUGACAGCGAUGGUUCGGCCUUGAAGUGGGCAGGGGGCGGAGGUGGUGGUGGGGGAGCCACAUACAUUUAUCGGAUGGAGAACGGGG